UACGUAGGGUGCGAGCGUUAAUCGGAAUUACUGGGCGUAAAGCGUGCGCAGGCGGUUUUGUAAGCCAGGUGUGAAAUCCCCGGGCUUAACCUGGGAAUGGCAUUUGGGACUGCAAGGCUGGAGUGCGGGAGAGGAGACUGGAAUUCCUGGUGUAGCAGUGAAAUGCGUAGAUAUCAGGAGGAAUACCGAUGGCGAAGGCAGGUCUCUGGGCUGACACUGACGCUCAUGCGCGAAAGCGUGGGGAGCAAACAGG
rnacentral:rRNA from 1 species